UACGGAGGGUGCAAGCAUUAAUCGGAAUUAUUGGGCGUAAAGGGCGCGUAGGCUGAUAGGCAAGUCAGAUGUGAAAUUUCGGAGCUCAACUUCGAAGCGGCAUUUGAAACUCUCUGUCUAGAGGAUAGACGGAGAAAACGGAAUUCCACGUGUAGCGGUGAAAUGCGUAGAGAUGUGGAAGAACACCUGUGGCGAAAGCGGUUUUCUAGCUUACACCUGACGCUGAGGCGCGAAAGCAAGGGGAGCAAACAGG
rnacentral:rRNA from 1 species